GGCCCUGCCCCCGCGCCGCACCGCGCUGCGCUGCGCCGUUCCGCGCCCCGGCCGGCAGGCGGCACGGGGCCGCCCGGCCCGGCCGCGAGGGGCAGCGGCGGGGGCGGGCGGCGCCCCUCUCCCGCGCGCGCCCCGGCGGGGCCCUCGCUGCGUGCGGGGAGGCGGGGGGCGCUGCCCUCGCCAGGCGCCGGCUGAAGCGGCCGUUGGGGCCGUUAACUGCCGCCGCGCCGGCUGUCAGCGGCCGCCCGGCAGCAGUGCGGCGGCGCGGGCCGCGGGUGCGGGGCGGCACGGGCGCAGGGGCCCCCUCCCUUGUCCCGUGCAGCAGCCCGCUACGUAAAAUCGUGAGAGACUCGUGUUUUUUGUUUUUUGUUUUUUUUUCGGGUGACACAUCACAACGUCCCGCAGCUGAUGUAGUGUUUGCGCUCUAUCAAAACGGUGGCCGCGAUCUCGAUGUGGACAUUUCGGGUGUGGGGGGGGGAGAAGUAAAAAGUUCUCUUGCACAGCAUUAAUAAUGCCUUAACGUAUACAAUUUCAUGGAAUGUGUGAUAGACCAUACUGGGGGGAAAAAAAAAAAGUUGACUUUGGACUUUGUAUUAAAAAAAUGGUCAGAACUGGCUAUCGGGAUUUAGUGCUACUUCAGACUUGCUACCCCGGCUUAAUUUUCUAUUUAGGCAACUUAAAACUCCUUCUGAAUUGCAUAUAACUAAUCCUUACUUUAGCAGUUGGCAAAUUCCUUUACUAAAUCGAUGGAUUAAGUGCUGGGCAUUGAGAAUGCUCUAGGGAAUAGCUAGAUGAACAUGCAAAUCUUUAUUUUUUAUUUGGCUUAGUUACUUUAAAAAUGUCUCACAUUAAAAAAAGCUCAGUGUUUAUUUUUAUUUUUAGUAUUAAGGAUUGAGGGGGAAAUGAAAUAUAUCUGUCAGCAUCCUGUUGCACAGGAAUCAAAACUACAACAAUAAACUGUUGCAUGUUUGGCAGGCUUAGAACAAAGAAACAGCUGUCCACAUUCCUGGGUUCCGCCCCUAAUGUCAUUUUACCAUCGCUAAUAAGUAUUGUAAAGCUCAAGAAAAGUUUGGAAGAGUUUUGAGAUCACAAUAUGUACAAUGUUUUAAAGCUACGUGAUGGAUAAUGUCAUCCUUGUGAAAGACCCAGGGUUUAGCUUCAAGAUUGCAAGUGUAUUUAUUGAGAACAGCUUGAAAUAGAGAUUUUUAUUUGAAAUAGUUGACACAUUUUCCGUUCUCUAAUUAUCAUUAAAAAAUGAAGCUUGAAGUUAAGACAUACCUAUUAUUGUAUAGACUUCCUGUUACUAAACGGAGUGUGAUAUGUCUGACUGAUACAAUGUAGUGAUGCAGUGUUGGAUUUUACAUGAAUUUUUGGAUGAAUGGAGCAAGACUUUCUGAAGAAUGUCGCUAACAUGGGCCCUUGACAUCUUGCAGCCUUUCAGUGCUUUUAAAGCAAGACUUCAAAGCAAUGUCAGACUUCCAUGUAUCUCAUGGUAGUGUUGACAUAUAACUGUUUCUGCAAAUACUGGACUCCAGAUGCUGUUCUAACUUUUACAUUGUUCUAGCAAAAAAAAAAAAAAAUGGCAAUAAAACACUUGACCAAACAAAACAGUGGGUCACCUUUAUUCUGUACAAUAGCUAAAGCGGUGCUGCUCCUGAUAUACACAGAGGAGUGUUGAGGUAAAACUUGUCUUGUAUUAGCCCAUAUGCAGUGUGUGUUCGCUUUCAAUUUUGAAUCCAGUUAGUGUCUGGAUUUUCCCACACUGUAUGGAACCUACUGGUACUAGUCUCUAUGUAGACACUUCAUUGCUUGAACCAAUACAGAGAGUCGUUUAGCAACAAUCUUACGAUAGUCCUGACUCCCUAAUAUGGUUAGAGCACUGAACUCUGAGGAAUAGAAUUGGAGUGAAUGAAAACUUCACUACCUGUAAAAAGUCACCAGCAUGUCUGAAAAUACCUGUUGUUCUAUUUUGUAUGUUUAUGCACUUAUGUAAAGUUGCAGCUAAACUGAUGAAGUUGCUGUUUACCUUCUGGGUUUAUCAUCCAACUGCAUUCAGAAAUGGAAUCAAGAUUCCAUUUAAAAAUUACUAUUGUUUUGCCUGUAUUAUUUUUAUUGGAAGGUUGUUUGUGAACUUUCUGCCUCCCAUAGCUAGAAAUGAAUGUCAUUUUCCAACCUAAAUUAAUUUGUGGUCCAUUUGUGCCUAUUUGUGAUAAUCCUGUCUCUUACCUAGAAGAGGUUUCUUCAGUCCUUGGUGCCCACUCUGACAUAUUAGUACAGAAAAUUGUGGUCCGUACCAGCCUAUGUUUUCCUACCUUCAAUAAGCUAUAUUUCCUUUGCCUUAUCAUAAAAUUGAAUUUAUAAAAUCUAAUUAUAUGAGAGCACAGCUCUGCUCUGCACUUGUUUCCCUUUGAAUUAAUCAUUCUUGUGCAAAUCUGGUCAUCUGUGUUCACAGCAUUAUAGGUAGUCUCACGCUCAAUGCUGCUGAUACCUGCUAAAACUACAUUUAUCAAAUGAGGUAUCUUCUUCAUAUUAAAGGCUUAUAUAUGUGUUAUCACUUAAUAUCCCUAGGUCCUUUUUUCCUGUGGUUGUUCCUCACUAACAAGCCUCUAGCUUUUAGUAGAAAUUCCUAUUAGUCCUUGAGUGCAUGACCUUGUACUUUGUCCUAUUAUUCCAUUCCAUUUCUGUUGUUCUAGUUCUAAAGAUCAUUUGGUUGUUUGUAGGAUUUUUCUAAUCUUUUGCCUCUAGUGAUGCCUGCAACUUCUGUGUCAUCAGAUAACUUCACUUCUCUCAGUGACCUGAACAGAAAUGCAAGUGUGGGAUUGAUCUGAAAUGUGAUUCUUGAUAAACUAGAGUAGUAAUUUCCUGUCAGAUCAGUAAUCUCUAUCACAUAACCACUGUCAUUUCACUGUUAGCCUGUUGUUUUUCUAACUGUAUGCAUCUUUCCAUCCCCCUCUUCUUUUUUUUUUUUUUUCCUUCAGUUCUGUCACAUCAUAGUUGGUGUGCAGUUUAGGAACAUAUUUAUCAAUCACACUGUACUUAUUAGAACAGUCAAUUAUCAUAUCAAAGAAAGACACUGGAUUCCCAUACACCUCCUUGUCUAUAAUGCCUCUUUGAUAUCUGUUCUAGGCUUUUAUUCUUCUUUGGUCUGGCUCAUGGACUAUAGGUUUUUCAUUGUUUAAAAACUUUUUUUCAAUAGCUAAAUACUGCUUCCAUGCAUCAGUUCUUGGAAUAUGGUGGAGUGUUACUGUCUGAUUAUGUGAACAUACAAAGUCAUCUCUGGCUGAUUCCAAAUCAGAUAGGAAUGCCAUUACAAUUUUUAUAUGUUAAUCUUCAUUGGCUCAACCUGCUGUCAUAUCUUUCUUUGGCCUGUGACAAAGGAAGGGGACAGUGUGAACACAAUGGCAGAAAUACAGAUGUUUGUUCAAACAUUGAGAAGGAGUUGCAGAAUUUGGCUUUGACAAGAACUGGCGAGCAAUGCUGGGAGAAGAGAAAGUGUGACAAGACUGCCAAAAAGCAGAAGAGUCCAGAAUAAAAUUAGGCUUCCUUCCAUUUCUUCCACAUCUUUGCUGCGCUGGGUAUCAUAGUAGCUAGGGAUCUUAAGGAAACCAUGGAAGUUUCAAUAUACAUUGCAUGUUACCAAGAGGAAGGAAUCUCAGAUAUUGGUACUCAGGACAAAUUUGAUGCAUUAACUUGCAUGUUAGAAAUUCUGUGGAAAGCAGAGUUUAUUUGAGACUGGAAGGAGUUCGGCAACAGAACACACAGAGGAAGAAAGCUCAGUGACCCAUCUGAGGCUUUCUUGGCUGGCACAUGUGGUCUGUGAGAUCAAAUGGAAGAAGAAAUAGGCACAAAAGGAUGUGUUUUGAGAAGUGCAGCUGUGAUGUUGAGGAGUGGAAGAAAUGCUUGUUAGACCAAAGGCAAAAGGAUGAGCAGAGUGCAGGCAAACAUAUAGCUCCAGUGUACAGAUCCUGAGACAGUGAACACAGAUGGAACAAGACACCUGGGGACAUGUGCAUUUCCUCGGUCAUUGCUUUAAAUAUACCCAGUGAUAUCUUCUCAGUGCUUAGCUGUAUGCUUCUUCCAACUUAGCUGCUAGCCCUACACAUCUCUGUAUCCCUUCUUCUUAAUUCCAAUGGAAAAUAAAUGCAAUUUUUUUUU